UCUAGCUUCCUUGUUGACCUAACUCAUCAUUAGAAAAGAAAAUCAUUUAUUUGAAUAUCAAAAUAGUACGAUAGCACAGAAAAUCAAAUAUACACAUGUCAUGCCAAAUAAUAGGGAAAAUCAAAUAAAUCAUUAAAUGCAGAUAUAUUUUGUGUCAUACUGCGCGAAGUUGUUAAAAACUUCUAUCUCUAAGGGAAGAUACAGAUUUCUAACUACCCAAGUAGAAUGACUA
rnacentral:lncRNA from 1 species